GACGAACCGUGCGAACGUUGUUCGGAAUCACUGGGCUUAAAGGGCGCGUAGGCGGCCUUCUAAGUCAGACGUGAAAUCCCCCGGCUUAACCUGGGAACUGCGUCUGAUACUGGGAGGCUCGAGUAUGGGAGAGGGAUGCGGAAUUCCAGGUGUAGCGGUGAAAUGCGUAGAUAUCUGGAGGAACACCGGUGGCGAAGGCGGCAUCCUGGACCAACACUGACGCUGAGGAGCGAAAGCCAGGGGAGCAAACGGG
rnacentral:rRNA from 1 species